UUUUUGAACUGAAUGCUAAAC
ensembl:piRNA 21ur-11300 ncRNA